UACGGAGGGAGCUAGCGUUGUUCGGAAUUAUUGGGCGUAAAGCGCGCGUAGGCGGCUUUGUAAGUUAGAGGUGAAAGCCCGGAGCUCAACUCCGGAACUGCCUUUAAAACUGCAUCGCUUGAAUCCAGGAGAGGUGAGUGGAAUUCCGAGUGUAGAGGUGAAAUUCGUAGAUAUUCGGAAGAACACCAGUGGCGAAGGCGGCUCACUGGACUGGUAUUGACGCUGAGGUGCGAAAGCGUGGGGAGCAAACAGG
rnacentral:rRNA from 1 species